GAUGAACGCUAGCGGGAGGCUUAACACAUGCAAGUCGAGGGAUAGAUGUAGCAAUACAUUGAAAACCGGCGCACGGGUGAGUAACGCGUAUGCAACCUGCCCUUUACCGGGGGAUAGCCCGUCGAAAGGCGGAUUAAUACCCCAUAAUAUCAUUUUUCCGCAUGGGAUGAUGAUUAAAGCUUCGGUGGUAAAGGAUGGGCAUGCGUGACAUUAGCUAGUUGGUAGGGUAACGGCCUACCAAGGCUACGAUGUCUAGGGGGUUCUGAGAGGAAGGUCCCCCACACUGGUACUGAGACACGGACCAGACACCUACGGGUGGCUG
rnacentral:rRNA from 1 species